AUCUGGAACAGUGGGGGAGAUGUGUGUACUUGUAUUUCACUGUGGUCUUGGUUUACAAAGUUCAUUUUCUGUUUCUUGACAGUUACUCACAGGAAGGGUCAUAUCAAUCAUAGUGAGACUUCUAGUUUCCUAGAAUACCUUAUACAAACAGGACAUCGUCGCUUCCUGCCUGUUUUCUAAGGGCAGAGUGGAGCUCCGACUGGGUGCCCUGGCGCUAGCCUUCUCUCUGGGAAUACUCCAAGACGCUCUCCGUGCAAGAUGAGAACAUUUAUUUAUGUCUCGGAAAAUUUACUUGUUUUGACACAAUUUUCACACAGAAAUCCAUAAUUACCCCAUUUUCACCGUCUUCAAACCAAGAUCCCAUACUCUUAUUGACCAGUUGCUAUGGUUUCAAUAAAUCAGUGUACAUACUAGUAUUAGGUUACCAUCGAGGAAACUGGCUCCUGUGUCUAAUUGAUGGAUGGUUACCUAAACAAAAGAACAACAGCACCCCAACCAGAUAGGUGUUCCUGAGCGACUUGAGAGCAAUAUGAAGUAAAAUUGUUUGAGUUGAAAACAGUUGUGGAAAUAGGGAUAUUUCUGGUUGUUCCAAAGUUACGGAAGUUAGGAAAGUUUAUGAAACUGAGGAGUUCUCCUUGUGGAUCUUCUGGAGAUAAGUUUGUUUUUGAUAAAUAUUCUCAGAUAUAUUAAUUACUGUCAGCUUUUUUUUUUUUUUUUUGGUACCAAGGAUUGAACUUGGGACCUUGCGCUUGCGAGGCAGGCGGCGGAACCACUGAGCUAAAUUCCCGGCCCUCAUAUAUACUACUAAUUAUUAACAACUAAAGGGUUUCAAUUAAGAAAAGUAGGCAACUGGGCUUUUUUCUUUGCAGUUUAUUUGUCAACAUUUAAUUUUCUGUGUUUUAUCUAUCUGAGUAAUCGGAAAUGAUAUGAGAAAUGUGGCUUGAUUAUAUUUGGGUAAUUUGAUACAAUUAUGUCUCUUUCAAGGAAAGUUUACUUUUCACUGUGGAAGACUUGAUUUUUAAAAAAUCGAUACACAGUUGCAUUCUUAGGCUCUACGUUUUAUGUAGCUCAUUCCAAGUAUAGGCAGGCGCUUUUGUUUUGUUCUUGGUACCAGGGAUCGAACUCAGGACCUUGCACUUUUGGAAGACAGAGGACCCUUUUAAGGAGGGUAACUGGGCUGGGGUGUGGCCCUGCGCUGAGCUGCACGGAGCAGUGCAACAAACACCCCCAAACUUCGCCACUGACCAAAUCCAAGAACGACUCACUCCUCCCUUUCCUGUUAGUCUUCAUUUUGAACUAAAUCAGACAGUUUCACAGAUAAUCAGACAGUGUCUAAAAGGUGAUUUAAAAUUAUGUAACAUAAUUUUAAAUAUUAAGUUUACAUAACAUUGUGGUGCUGCUUGGUCCUGGAAUGAUGUUGGUUUUUUCUGUUUUGUUUUUUUUUUGGUACCGGGGAUGGAACUUGGGCCCUUGCACUUGCGCAGCAUGCGGUGAAACCACUGAGCUAAAUCCCCGGCCGGAUGUUGGUUCUCUCAUAGUUUUGAUCCUCGACUUUGUAUUAGUGGUCCGAUGUAUUUCUCGUAGGCAGGGUUCUGUUUUUUAGAAAGAAAUAUGUUAUUAA
rnacentral:lncRNA from 1 species